rnacentral:rRNA from 1 species
AGAGUUGAUCAUGGCUCAGAACGAACGCUGGCGGCAGGCUUAACACAUGCAAGUCGAGCGCCCCGCAAGGGGAGCGGCAGACGGGUGAGUAACGCGUGGGAACGUACCCUUUACUACGGAACAACUCCGGGAAACUGGAGCUAAUACCGUAUGUGCCCUUCGGGGGAAAGAUUUAUCGGUAAAGGAUCGGCCCGCGUUGGAUUAGCUAGUUGGUGGGGUAAAGGCCUACCUAGGCGACGAUCCAUAGCUGGUCUGAGAGGAUGAUCAGCCACAUUGGGACUGAGACACGGCCCAAACUCCUACGGGAGGCAGCAGUGGGGAAUAUUGGACAAUGGGCGCAAGCCUGAUCCAGCCAUGCCGCGUGAGUGAUGAAGGCCUUAGGGUUGUAAAGCUCUUUCACCGGGGAAGAUAAUGACGGUACCCGGAGAAGAAGCCCCGGCUAACUUCGUGCCAGCAGCCGC